AUUGAACGCUGGCGGCAUGCCUUACACAUGCAAGUCGAACGGCAGCACGGGAGCAAUCCUGGUGGCGAGUGGCGAACGGGUGAGUAAUACAUCGGAACGUGCCCAGUAGUGGGGGAUAGCCCGGCGAAAGCCGGAUUAAUACCGCAUACGACCUACGGGUGAAAGCGGGGGAUCGCAAGACCUCGCGCUAUUGGAGCGGCCGAUGGCAGAUUAGCUUGUUGGUGGGGUAAAAGCCUACCAAGGCUACGAUCUGUAGCUGGUCUGAGAGGACGACCAGCCACACUGGGACUGAGACACGGCCCAGACUCCUACGGGAGGCAGCAGUGGGGAAUUUUGGACAAUGGGCGCAAGCCUGAUCCAGCCAUGCCGCGUGCGGGAAGAAGGCCUUCGGGUUGUAAACCGCUUUUGUCAGGGAAGAAACGAUCCGAUCUAAUACAUUGGAUUAAUGACGGUACCUGAAGAAUAAGCACCGGCUAACUACGUGCCAGCAGCCGCCGUAAAAC
rnacentral:rRNA from 1 species